rnacentral:rRNA from 1 species
GGGCGUAAGAGCUCGUAGGCGGUUUGUCGCGUCUGCUGUGAAAUCCCGAGGCUCAACCUCGGGUCUGCAGUGGGUACGGGCAGACUAGAGUGCGGUAGGGGAGAUUGGAAUUCCUGGUGUAGCGGUGGAAUGCGCAGAUAUCAGGAGGAACACCGAUGGCGAAGGCAGAUCUCUGGGCCGUAACUGACGCUGAGGAGCGAAAGGGUGGGGAGCAAACAGGCUUAGAUACCCUGGUAGUCCACCCCGUAAACGUUGGGAACUAGUUGUGGGGUCCAUUCCACGGAUUCCGUGACGCAGCUAACGCAUUAAGUUCCCCGCCUGGGGAGUACGGCCGCAAGGCUAAAACUCAAAGGAAUUGACGGGGACCCGCACAAGCGGCGGAGCAUGCGGAUUAAUUCGAUGCAACGCGAAGAACCUUACCAAGGCUUGACAUAUAGAGGAAACGUGCAGAAAUGUACGCCCCGCAAGGUCUCUAUACAGGUGGUGCAUGGUUGUCGUCAGCUCGUGUCGUGAGAUGUUGGGUUAAGUCCCGCA